CCUUCGAUAGCUCAGUUGGUAGAGCGGUGGACUGUAGUGGAAUUUUAAGCAGUAAUCCAUAGGUCGCUGGUUCAAAUCCGGCUCGAAGGA
rnacentral:tRNA from 1 species